AUGGGACCAGACAAGCUCUACGCUAGGGUGCUGAGGGAGCUGGCAGACGUGAUUGCCAAGCCGCUUUCCACCAUCUGUCAGCAUUCCUGGUUAUCUGGAGAGGUCCAAGAGGAUUGGAGGCUUGUCGAUGUGACUCCCACCUACAAGAAGGGCUGGAAGGAGGACCCGGGGAACUACAGGCCUGUCAGCCUGACCUUGGUUCCAGGGAAAGUUAUGGAGCAAAUCAUCUUGGGUGAGAUCACACGGCACUUGUGUGGCAUCCAGGGGAUCAGGCUGAGACAGCAUGGGUUCAUGAAAGGCAGGUCGUGCUUGUCCAACCUUAUCUUCUUCUGUAAUCGUGUGACCAGACUGGUAGAUGAGGGAAAGGCUGUUGAUGUAGUCUACUUAGACUUCAGCAAAGCCUUUGACACAGUCUCCCACUCUAUUCUCCUGUUGAAACUGGCUGCCUGUGGCCUGGACAGGUAUACUGUUCUCUGGGUAAGGAACUGGCUGGAGGGCCGUGCCCAGCGGGUAGUAGUUAAUGGAGUUAAGUCCAGCUGGCGUCUCGUUACAAGUAGUGUUCUCCAGGGGUCGGUACUGGGGCCUAUCUUGUUGAAUAUCUUUAUUGAUGACCUAGAUGAGGGGAUUGAGUGUACCCUCAGUAAGCUUCCAGACGACACCAAGUUGGGAGGUAGUGUCGCUCUGCCUGAGGGUAGGGCGGACCUUCAGAGGGAUCUGGAUAGGCAGGAGUGCUGGGCUGAGGCAAAUGGGAUGAGAUUUAACAAGGCCAAGUGUCGGGUCCUUCAAUUGGGUCACAAUAACCCAAUGCAACGCUAUAGGCUUGGGGCAGAGUGGCUAGAAAACUGUGAAGAUGAAAGGGACCCGGGAGCGUUGAUCAAUGUUCGGCUGAACAUAGGCCGGCAGUGUGCUCAGGUGGCCAAGAAGGCCAAUGGCAUCCUGGCCUGUAUUAGAAAUAGUGUAGCCAGCAGGAGCAGGGAGGUGAUUGUCCCGCUGUACUCAGCGUUGGUGAGGCUGCACCUCAAGUACCGUGUCCAGUUUUGGGCCCCUCAGUACAAGAAGGACAUCGAGGCCUUGAAGCAUGUCCAGAGAACGACAACAAAACUGGUGAGGGGCCUGGAACACAAGUCCUAUGAGGAGCGGCUGAGGGAGCUGGGAUUGUUUAGUCUGGAAAAGAGGAGGCUCAGGGGAGACGUCAUUGCACUCUACAACUUCCUGAAGGGAGGUUGUGUUGAGAAGGGGGUCGGCCUCUUCUCUCAGAUAACUAAUUAUAGGACUCGAGGAAAUGGCCACAAGAUGCGCCUGGGGAGAUUCAGGUUAGAUGUCAGGAAAAACUUUUCUCUCAAAGAGUGGUCAGGCACUGGAAUGGCCUGUCCAGGGGGGUGGUGGAGUCACCGUCCCUCACUGUGUUUGAGAAGAGCCAGGACAAGGUGCUAUGAGAUAUGA
ensembl:lncRNA